GGGGGUGUUUUGGUUUUGACAGCGUUGACGCAGGACGGUAAGCACGCCGGGCGUGGAGGCCUUGCCCGUUAAUCUCAGACCUCAAACAAUCAGUUGCCAACAACAACUACGCACUCGCUGCUUAAUUCGCCCAAGGCAAUUAGCUUAAUCCGCGUCGCCUAGGCUGCGACGCCGACGAGUAUCCCUCGGACAUUCCGCCCUGUAUUGUCCGGCCCAGGGGUAUCAUCAAGACAGGGAUGCACCGGCGGACGCAUUUAAAACCGGCUAAGACUCAAAUGCUAAGGGUGAGUUUGCCCGCCUUCCGGCUGGCUCACCACAAAAACCAAAGGACGGAUAAGCGUGUAGAAAGCCGCCAGGUGCGGCGUUUGGACAGCGGUUCGAGUCAGCUCACCUCCACAU
rnacentral:tmRNA from 1 species